rnacentral:rRNA from 1 species
UACGAAGGGGGCUAGCGUUGCUCGGAAUUACUGGGCGUAAAGCGCACGUAGGCGGUCUUUUAAGUCGGGGGUGAAAUCCUGGAGCUCAACUCCAGAACUGCCUUCGAUACUGGAAGACUUGAGUCCGGGAGAGGUGAGUGGAACUGCGAGUGUAGAGGUGAAAUUCGUAGAUAUUCGCAAGAACACCAGUGGCGAAGGCGGCUCACUGGCACGGUACUGACGCUGAGGUGCGAAAGCGUGGGGAGCAAACAGG